rnacentral:rRNA from 1 species
GACGAACGCUGGCGGCGUGCCUAAUACAUGCAAGUAGAACGCUGAAGCGAGGAGCUUGCUCUUCUUGGAUGAGUUGCGAACGGGUGAGUAACGCGUAGGUAACCUGCCUGGUAGCGGGGGAUAACUAUUGGAAACGAUAGCUAAUACCGCGUAAAAUUGAUUAUUGCAUGAUAAUUAAUUGAAAGAUGCAACUGCAUCACUACCAGAUGGACCUGCGCUGUAUUAGCUAGUUGGUGAGGUAACGGCUCACCAAGGCGACGAUACAUAGCCGACCUGAGAGGGUGAUCGGCCACACUGGGACUGAGACACGGCCCAGACUCCUACGGGAGGCAGCAGUAGGGAAUCUUCGGCAAUGGGGGGAACCCUGACCGAGCAACGCCGCGUGAGUGAAGAAGGGUGUCGGAUCGUAAAGCUCUGUUGUAAGAGAAGAACGGGUGUGAGAGUGGAAAGUUCACACUGUGACGGUAUCUUACCAGAAAGGGACGGCUAACUACGUG